rnacentral:rRNA from 1 species
GACGAACGCUGGCGGCGUGCCUAACACAUGCAAGUCGAACGGAAAGGCCCUGCUCUUGUUGGUUGCUCGUGUGGCGCACGGGUGAGUAUCACGUGAGUAACCUGUCCUUGACUUUGGGAUAACUUCAGGAAACUCGGGCUCUUAUCGGAUAUGAGCUCCUGCUGCAUGGUGGGGGUUGGAAAGAUUCGGCGGUUGGGGAUGGACUCGCGGCUUAUCAGCUUGUUGGUGGGGUAGUGGCUUACCAAGGCUUUGACGGGUAGCCGGCCUGAGAGGGUGACCGGCCACAUUGGGACUGAGAUACGGCCCAGACUCCUACGGGAGGCAGCAGUGGAGAGUAUUACACAAUGGGCGGAAGCCAGAUGCAGCAACGCGGCGUGCGGGAUGACGGGCUGCGGGUUGUAAACCGCUUUCGCCUGUGACGAGGCGUGAGUGACGGUAAUGAGUAAGAAAGCACCGGCUAACUACGUG